GCUAGCGGCAGGCCUAACACAUGCAAGUCGAACGGUAACAGGGAAAAGCUUGCUUUUCCGCUGACGAGUGGCGCACGGGUGCGUAACGCGUAUACAAUCUACCUCUUACAGGGGGAUAGCCUUUAGAAAUGAAGAUUAAUACCCCAUGGCAUUAUAAACCGGCAUCGGUUUAUAAUUAAAGUUUCGGCGGUAGGAGAUGAGUAUGCGUUCUAUUAGCUAGUAGGUGUGGUAACGGCACACCUAGGCAACGAUAGAUAGGGGCCCUGAGAGGGGGAUCCCCCACACUGGUACUGAGACACGGACCAGACUCCUACGGGAGGCAGCAGUGAGGAAUAUUGGACAAUGGGCGGAAGCCUGAUCCAGCCAUGCCGCGUGCAGGAAGACUGCCCUAUGGGUUGUAAACUGCUUUUGUACAGGAAGAAACCUUUCCACGUGUGGAGAGCUGACGGUACUGUAAGAAUAAGCAUCGGCUAACUCCGUGCCAGCAGCCGCGGUAAUACGGAGGAUGCAAGCGUUAUCCGGAAUCAUUGGGUUUAAAGGGUCCGUAGGUGGAUUGGUCAGUCAGAGGUGAAAUCCUGCAGCUCAACUGUAGAACUGCCUUUGAUACUGCCGGUCUUGAAUUAUUGUGAAGUGGUUAGAAUAUGUAGUG
rnacentral:rRNA from 1 species